rnacentral:rRNA from 1 species
GACGAACGCUGGCGGCGUGCUUAACACAUGCAAGUCGAACGGAAAGGCCCUGCUUGCAGGGUGCUCGAGUGGCGAACGGGUGAGUAACACGUGGGUGAUCUGCCCCUUACUUUGGGAUAAGCCUGGGAAACUGGGUCUAAUACUGGAUAGGGCCAUGCUGUAGGUGGUGUGGUGGAAAGAUUAGUUUCGGUAAGGGAUGAGCUCGCGGCCUAUCAGCUUGUUGGUGGGGUAAUGGCCUACCAAGGCGUCGACGGGUAGCCGGCCUGAGAGGGUGGACGGCCACAUUGGGACUGAGAGACGGCCCAGACUCCUACGGGAGGCAGCAGUGGGGAAUAUUGCACAAUGGGCGCAAGCCUGAUGCAGCGACGCCGCGUGGGGGAUGACGGCCUUCGGGUUGUAAACUCCUUUCAGCCAUGACGAAGCCCUUGUGGUGACGGUAGUGGUAGAAGAAGCACCGGCUAACUACGUG